rnacentral:lncRNA from 1 species
CUUCAUCUCACAUUUUGAUAUUUUGUUUUUGCUUUCAUUCAGUUCAGAAUAUUUUCUAAAUUCCCUUAUGUCUUUUUUUAUAGUUUACAGAAAUGUUUUAUUAGUUCAUGUUUGCAGCACACAAUGGUCACGCGCAUCAUGGGAAACUGGUGCUGUAGGUACAUAACUAUCUUAAUUCUUUUUUCAUUCCCUUCUCUUUACUUAUAUUUUUAUAAUAUAAAGAGAAAGCCUUGCUUUUUGGUUUUAUGAAACAAGGUCUCACUACGUAGCCAGGCUGGCAUUGAACUCACGACGAUCUUCCUGCCUCAGCCUCCUGAGUGCUGGGAUUACAGGUGUGCGCCAACACGCCCAGCUGUGUAUUUGCUUUUGACCCAUGGAUUACUUAGAAAUGUGUUUAAUUUCUAACCUAAUGCAUGCGUCCCAAACCUCAGGAUACGGGCCUGGUUCUCCGCGCUGCACAGCGGCCCCGCUGAGGGCUGGGGGGUGGCGGGAACCUCCCUCGCGUACCGGGACUGUCAUGGAGAUACCCCGAUCCCGGUCCCGGCCUGCUCAGCCUGACUGACGCUGGAGCAUCGCAACAACCCGAACCGUCCUCGCGCAGCGCCACGGAGGCGCCCCGCUCCCGCUCAGCUCUCGCUCCCAGAGCCCAGCGCCUUGCGAGCCCCGGCCGGGUGUGUUCCUAGGCGGCUUCCGUAGCGGACAAUUUCCAGUCCCGCUGUGCAUGGCGCAGCCGCUUAGGCACCCGGUCUCGGGACGGCCCUGUCCCAGGUGCUCUGCGGCCCAGGCGGCGGGUUUGGGACCUCCGUCAGCUUGCGUCAGCCUCCCGUUCUCCUCGUCCUCCCCGUUCUCCCCGUUCUCCAAGUCCUUGGGGUCCGUGCGCUCCCUCGUUUGCCUUCCCGCGGGCCAGGCGGAAGACGGAACGAAGCUGCGCGGCCCGGGUUCCGGUCGGAAGCUGUCAGCGCGGCCUUACUCGCGAGGGAAGAACAAUGGCCAGUGCAGCUGUCCUGACCACAGGUUGGUGACCUCAGCAGUUUUCUCCAGGCCCUGCGUCUCAUUUUGCACUUUCAACAAACAUUUGUUGAACACCUCCUCCAUGUGAGGCUGGGGGGGGGGGGUGGGCGCGGGGGUUCCGGCCUGAGAAACAAACAAGCCCCUGAGGCCCUGCAGCCCUGACAGGAAGCAGGGUACCCGGAUGGAGACAUAGCCGAUGGCUUGGACACAGGACAAAUCAUUGGAAAGAACUUUCUUUCCUUUUUGUUUAUUUAUUUAUUGUCUUUUUGAGACCGAGUUUCAAUAUGCAGUUCAAAUUGGCCCUCAACUCACUUUGUAGCCCAGGCUGGCCUCGAACGCACAGUGAGCCUCCAGUGCUUCAGCCUCCCCAGUGCUGGCAUUACAGGUGUGUGCCACCACGCCCGGCUGGAAAGAACUUUCUGAGCAGUGUGUGGCCACUCGCUUGCCUGCAGUUAUCAAGGCUGAUUCUGGCUGUUUCUUUGGACUUGUUUCUGCUGUGUCUAAAUCACAUUCUCCUGCUUCUCGAAGUAUCUAGUAAUUCUGGUUAGAUGCUAGAUAUUAUAUAUUCUGCUGCCUAGUGUCUACACUUUUGUAGGUCCCUUGAAAGAAUGCUGACUUUGUAUCACCUAACAAUUAAAUGGCUUGCAGAUUUUCUUGGUCCUUUUAAAAAUGAUUUUUUAAAAAAAACUGAAUUCUAAGCUAUGCAGGGAUGGCUUGAGAGUCGCCUUUACUCUAGGGCUAGAGCAGCCCAGUGACAUAGGUGUGUGGCCCUCCUGGAAUCUUUGUUGAGAACCUCAGGGGUUCAUAGCUGGGGAUGCUCCUCAGGCUGGAUGGAGCUCAGCGUCUCCAAGCCCUGCAUCAGCUCUGGGAUGACCCAGGGCCCCGGGCUGCGUAUGCAGCUUUUAGCAGCAGCUCCCAGGAGGCCCUUUUCGGGUUCGGGAGGCCUCAGCUGUGUGGAUUUCUUCUCCGAAGGGUGUGCAGCUGAACAGUGACUCUGCACCUCAGCUCCUUGCAGGGCAGGAGCUGCGUGGUUCUGCACCAGCCCCACAGCAGCAUCGGGGUGCAGGCCAGACGCCCCCAACCAUGCUCCCUGCACUCUGCCAGCCCCUCACUGACUACGCCAGGGGCUACAUGGGGGUGUUGUGGGUAGUGUGUCUAAUUCUCUAGUUGCGUAGGAUAAGAAAGCAAGUCUGGGGGCCAGUUACUCUUGUGUGGGUGGAAGCAGAACUUUUUUUUUUCUGUAUUUAAUUUUAUUUUUUAAUUUAUAUGUUACUUCACCAGUACUGGGAAUGGAACUCAGGACCUUCCCAGUACCGGUGAAGUAACAUAAUAAUAAAAUUAUGUUGGGCUUGCCGGGCAGGCACUUAUGCUACUGACCUAGAUCCCCAACCCGGAAGCAGAACUUUAAAAUACUAAUGAAUAUAUUAAAAAUCUGCAUCUUCUGCAACUUGAGACCAUACUCGUAAGUGAAAUAAGACACCAGUAAACACCAUGUUGUCUCACUAAUGUGAGAAGCUGAAAGAACAUGUAGUCUACAUAAAAACUAGUUAAGAUACUUCUACUUCCGAUUUCUCUGAAUGCACUGCAGAGAAAGUUUUGUGCAGAUGCUGUUCAGACGAUUGAAUGCAGAUGUCUUGUGCUCUGGGUGAAUGAUUUGGGUGUGACAAUGCGUGAUUUAUGUACCAUCAUUGCCCCCUGAUUGAUGUGUUUUCAAAUUUUGUUUUCCUUUUUUCGUUUCCUUUUUUCUCAUUGAAAUAAAAUGGAUUUGAAAAAAAUCUGCAUCUUUCAUUAUCUGUAAUUACAGACUCUGUGUGGAUACAAAUGUUAAUCUGUUAACAAAAGUGUGGGUGUGUUUAGGCUUAGAAAGUGUAAUUUGUAAUAUGUAUCUGUUACACUUUUGCAAAAGCACUUUUGCUUCUGAGAUGGAAGCAAUCUCAGAAGAUACCUAAGAGGAGAUGGAUAGCUGGGUUGAAUGGAAUUUCUCGUUUCUGAGGAAUCUCCAUAUGGAUUUCCAUACUGUACUAGUUUAUAUUCCAGCCAACAGUGUAGAAGUGUCUUUCUCCUCAAAGCCUCACCAGAAUUGUUAUGAUUUGAUUUCUUGGUGAGGGCCAUUCCUUCUGGUGUAAGAUGUAAUACAGGUGUUGUUUUUAUUUGCAUUUCUCUAAUGUCCAGUGACGCUGAACAUUUCUUCACAUAUUUAUUAGCCAUUUGUGCAUCUUCUUCAUUAAGCAUCUGUUCAUUUCACUCGCUGAGUUUUUUGAAUGGGUCUUAUAGUGGCUUGAGAACUGCUGGUCACUUGUAGCACCAGCUGACCUGCAUCAGUGUGGAGCUGAGCGUGGAGCACCCACCCGAGUCUGUUGCCAGGUAAAAAGGAGACCUGGAGAGGAAGAGAUAGUGUUGUUGAGUCAUCUGGGGGUGUGGGUUCUCCUGGAGGAGCCUGCUGAGCUGCUUUCCUGGUAUGAACCUGGCUGUUAUCAUCAUCAGGGGAGGUGGGGACCUUGCUGUCACUGAGAGUGGCUGCGGUUCACUUUGGGGAAGCUCUGGUCUCUACUUUGAGCAUCGCUUCAUGGCUCUGGAGGGGAAGAUGUGUGCUGUUCAGUCUCCUGGAGAAGCUCGUCACGCUGGCUUUCUGAUAUGAACUCAGCUCUUCUCACUUUAGGAGGAGCUCUGGACCUCACUGUUGCUGAGGAUGGUCGUGAUACUUCAGGGGAGCCCUGGACCUUACUCUGAGCAUUACUUCUGGACUCCAGUGCAGAGCCCUCAGCCUGUGGGCACAGACUUUUUAGCCUCCUGCCCCUGACCUUGGGGCCCUUCCGGCGCAGAUCCAUGUGACAGACUUCCACAAGUCACCGUUGUGAGCUCUAGGCCUCCAGAUGGACUGAGCAGGGAGCAUUGUCAUGGGCUCUUGGUUUUCAGCAGGGCUCAUGCAGGACAUCACUGUGGGAUCCAGGCCCUGGGCUGGGUUUUCUAGGUCUUUAGUGUGUGGACAGAUUUCCUGCACUGUCUUUGUAUUUGACUCCUUGGGUGACCAUUAUAAGUAGUAUUAGUUAUGUGUUCUGCAUUGUUUUUUUCUCCUUGCAAACCCUGACUGCAACAGGUCUUUUGAGAUUAUCUUAUUUUGAAGGCUCUAGUUUUUUGACUUUGUUAUAUAUUCUAGAUGCUAUUCUUCUGUCUGAGCAAUAGCUGGUGAUAUUUUUUCCCCCAUUCUGUGGAUUGUUUUUUCAUUCUGUUGGUGGCUUCUUUGGCUGUGCAGAAGCUGUUUAAUUUGAUAUGAUCCUAACUGUUAUUUUUAAAAGAUAAUAAAAAUGAUACAAAAUUUCAAAACAAGA